UCUGAGUGCUGGGAUUAAAGGCGUGUGCC
rnacentral:piRNA from 1 species